CGCGGGGUGGAGCUGCGGUAGCUCGUCGGGCUCAUAACCCGAAGGUCGUUGGUUCAAAUCCAACCCCCGCUACCA
rnacentral:tRNA from 1 species